rnacentral:rRNA from 1 species
ACAUUGCAAAGAGUGGCGAACGGGUGAGUAACACGUAGGAAACCUACCUCUUAGCAGGGGAUAACAUUUGGAAACAGAUGCUAAUACCGUAUAACAAUAGCAACCGCAUGGUUGCUACUUAAAAGAUGGUUCUGCUAUCACUAAGAGAUGGUCCCGCGGUGCAUUAGUUAGUUGGUGAGGUAAUGGCUCACCAAGACGAUGAUGCAUAGCCGAGUUGAGAGACUGAUCGGUCACAAUGGGACUGAGACACGGCCCAUACUCC